ensembl:lncRNA RPL23AP7 ribosomal protein L23a pseudogene 7
GGCUGUGGGUGUGGUACCGAGGCUUCAGCGGGUGCCGCCCGCCUAGAGGGAGUGGAGCGGUGAGCACGUCAGGGGUGGGGGGCGCAGGUCAAGCUUUCACCAGUUUUUAAUUCUUUGAUGGGGUAAAUUUGAGCAAUUUUCUCGACUUGUCGACAUUCGUUAUUAACUGAGCAGGAAUCAGGAGAGGAACCCGGUCCUCUCCACACAGCCCAGCAGAGAGCCUACGACUAGAUUUGCAUCUUUACGUCCUGCGCGGAGGCUGCUACACACAUGCAGAAGUCAUGCUGGUGGCCUGGACAGUGAAGGGAGAGAAGUGGAUUUGGGAGACAUUUAGGAGCAGAAGAAUCCCAGACUUCUUAGAGAACCCAGUGACUUUUUGCACCUUAAAUCUGUGAAAUCCUCAUGUUUUCUUCUGCCGUAUCCAUAGUUCAAACAAAGAUGAGGCAAAGCUAGAUGCAUUCCUGAAGGAACCCAAGAAAUUCCUCUCUUUAUUUCUCUGGAAUGAAAUGAAUUCUCUAGACCACCAGUUCUAACCUUCAAAAACCAAACCUGUUUGUGAGAUCUCCUUCAAAUACUACUGUAGACCCCAGUGUUUAUUCAUUAAAUUUUUAAAAUAUUUGUUUUAUUUGGAAUCCA